UUCAGACAUUGGAUGGGCACGGUCCGACGGUUGGUGGCGGGAACGUGGAAUAGGGGUAGGGGAGCAGGAGCGCGAGUUGGGUGCCGGGACCGCGGCAGCGGCGGCAUAAGCGAGAGGUGGUGCCAGGACGACGGCAGCGGCGGCAGGAGCGCGAGAGAGACUCUAGGUCGGCGGUAGGAGCGCGAGGCGGGUACUACGUCGUUGGCAGCGGCGCGAGACGGGCCCUAGCUCGGCGGCAGGAGGCGCGAGACGGACUCUAGGUAGGCGGCAGGAGCGCGAGUACCUAGGUGGGGGAGGGGACUAGGGGCAGGAGGUCGGGGGUUGAAACAGACGGUAGAGGGAGCGCGAAGAGGGGACGGCGAGGGGCCCGGGGUCGGGAUGGUACUCGAGAGGUAGGCACGAGGGGCAAGGAUGACGGCGACUAUCUCUAGGUAGGUGCUCGAGAGGUAGGGCGACGCGGGGAGGGUUUCGGUCGGCAGACAACGACGUCUAUAGGCGUGUCUGAGCAGAAAAGGUUAUCCUCGCCAACAUGUACUACAACUCGGAUGUCCCGUCGUUCAUGCACCAUGAUGGACAGUUGCUCCUGCUCCUCCACCCGCUCGCCUCCCGCGGCUCCACCUGGGACUCAGGUCAGUCGCAAACUCCUCCGUGUAAGGUUAAAAUAAGAGGUAGUGAAAACUUAUGUGACCUAUAAAUACUUAUUGCCACAGAAACAAACUAUAUUAAAAAAAUACACUCGUGCCACUUCAAAAGGAAAAAGUACUUAUACCGUGAUCGUAAGUUUGGAAUCCAAGUUGUAUAUUAGAGUAGAAGGAGACGUAGGUGUAUGGAAGUUGAUGAACUUCGACCUAUACCAAAGGUCUCCCCUCAACGUUCAAGGUUAGUGUAAGUUUGGAAUCUCCGGCGGAACCACGUCACCGAUCUAUCAAAGUCUUAAGUCUGAAAGUUACAUUAAAAUACUCUACAAUUACAAGUAAGACCAACUACCGUAUUAUAAACAAGAAAACUGUUCAAGUAAGUAAUAUGAUUGGUUCAUGUAUUGAACGUCUGGAAACCGGAAAUGAAAUACUAAACUAAAUACCCUUCAGCUCAAUAGAUAUAACUUGUGUAAAAAGGAAAAAAGGUCCUACCAACUAUGUACAGAUGUGUAAAACAGUCUCGUUAAACGUCACCUUCUUCAUCGGAGUUUGACUAUUCUUCCGUGGACGAUAAAGUGCCAAUAACAACAUCUAGUUCCUACUGUUCUUCCGUUGAUUACAUGGUCCACGUCCAUGAUUUGUAUGCUGUAUGUAAUUCAAAUAAUAAAGAGAGAAUCUUUAUAUGUAUCUAGUAAAACUCGGAACUGAUCUCUCGGUCUAAAGACGGACUUGAAUAUCGUAAUGAUCUAUACAAAACAUAGAACAACUAUUUUGUGGUGUAUGACGUCAAAUAUUAAUUUUUAUACUUUUACUGUGUUGUACUAAACUUCGCGUGUAUGUAACGAAUCCUCAAUUUGUAUGUGUGUAAUCAAACCACAAUAGGGAAACCACCAGUGUUAGACUUUUAGUGUACCGUAUUUGACUUGAAGUGUAUAAUGUUAAAAAAACCAGUCUUGAACAUGUAAAAUCAAGAUGAAGUAGUCUAUUGCAUGUUUGUGAAUAAACAUGGUAAUAAAAGUUUGAAACUUCUAGUGUAGUCGAUUGAAGCAUAAUCUUGUUUAUGUUGAAGUGUAACCGAAUAGGAUGAUGUAAAAGAACGUACAUUCUGCAACUUAUUUUAAACAUCUAUACGAACGGUACCGCUUUAUGAAUAAGAUACGUAUACAUCUAUACAUACGUACUACUAAGCAAAGUCGUAAAAUAUUUAUAAACUGGAGUACAUACUGUCUUGAUACAAUACACACAAUACCUAUAUACAGUAUUUAUCAAUUAAGAACACGAAGAGAGCCGACGGUUAGAGGGAUACUCGAAGUUUCGUGAACUCGACUAAGGUGAAACAUGGUUUAAGAACACCUCAUAAAAGUCCAUUAGUCGUUGUCUACACUACUGAAACUUCACAAGACCUCGUAAACCGACAGAUAUCAUAAAACCUGGUCGGUUGAAUUAACAUUAGCACUUAGAAUACACAAAAGAUCUGGUAAACCACGAGUUCACAAUACCUCAUCUUUAGAACACGAGUACCUACAAUGAGUUAAUAAACCUGGUAGAUCACAAACUUGAUAAAAUCUGGUCACUUAACCCCAGGAAAAUACACUGAACACAAAAGACCUACCAACGGUUCUACCGGUUCGAAACGAAAACACUUCUAACUGAACACGAACUUGGACGCUUGUUAUAUACACACACACACACAUUAAAACAAUGGUAAAAUAGUU
rnacentral:rRNA from 1 species